CUACAUUAUUGCAGCUAAUUUGUGUACAGUUAUACACUGUACGAUCAGUGUAACUUCAUAAAGAAAUAAUAAUUAUCAUUGUUUUGCCUCGGACUAGAAUGUCGCGACGUCAUUGGAUGAAACGCGUCACGUGGCUGCCUUACAAAUUUCUUUAAAAGGCAAGCGUCAAAAUUUAUAGGGCAACAUGGCGGACGUAACGUUAUUUGAACUGAUUUUCUACACAAACGUUUGUUUACAUAUCAAACUUUAGGUCCUCGACAAAAUAAUAUUAUGUGCUUUAAAGGAUAAAAAAUAUGCCUGACAAAUACUUAUACUUACUUCAUUGGAUAGAGGAGAGGAAGUGCUGUGUGUUGAUGUGCAUGAAUAUUGAAAUUAUGAACGAUGGACAUAUAAAUUCACACUUUUGUAAAUGUUGUUUUGUGGAAGUUCACGUACGUGAUUUAUUUGACAACCAAGGAAAAAAAAAAAAUAGCUGUUAUCCAAAUGAUGUACCGCAACUUCACUAUGUCUCGUUUGUUUCAGAAUAAUGUUCUCUGAAUGUUUCGUGAUUUUAAGGGGUAGUGAAAGACACACCAUACAGCUUACAUUAGAGUGGUUAAUUUAUAGUUAUAUCUGUUGAUCUGUUAAUGAUGUGAUACUUCGUGAUUUCUCAUGUUUUUGGUACAUAUGUGUUUUUGGUAUAUAUGUUCUUUAAACCCUUCUUUUAGAUUUUACAAUUAUAAGUGACCCUGACAACCCCUGUUUUAAAAAAAACAA
rnacentral:sRNA from 1 species